rnacentral:rRNA from 1 species
UUUUUUAAAAAAUUUUUUUGGUGUUAAAAAAAACCCCCCUUUCCCCUUUUUAAAGGAAAAAAGUUUGUGCCGCGCCCCCCCCGGGUCCUAGUUUUUUUUAAAGAACGCGCCCGCGGUUUCACUUGUCUCUUUAAAAAGGGGGGGGUCUAACCCCCUGUGAUGGGAAUGACGCUGAGAAGCUUUUUUAUGAGAGAGGAAAGUGGAAUUCCUUGUGUCGCGGUGAAAUGCGUAGAGAUUAGGAAGAACACCGGUAGAGAAGGCGACUUUCUGGACGAAAUCUGUCGCUGACGCGCGAAAGCGUGGGGAGCACACAGG